rnacentral:rRNA from 1 species
GACGAACGCUGGCGGCGUGCCUAAUACAUGCAAGUAGAACGCUGAAGGAGGAGCUUGCUUCUCUGGAUGAGUUGCGAACGGGUGAGUAACGCGUAGGUAACCUGCCUGGUAGCGGGGGAUAACUAUUGGAAACGAUAGCUAAUACCGCAUAAGAGUAGAUGUUGCAUAACAUUUACUUAAAAGGUGCAAUUGCAUCACUACCAGAUGGACCUGCGUUGUAUUAGCUAGUUGGUGAGGUAACGGCUCACCAAGGCAACGAUACAUAGCCGACCUGAGAGGGUGAUCGGCCACACUGGGACUGAGACACGGCCCAGACUCCUACGGGAGGCAGCAGUAGGGAAUCUUCGGCAAUGGACGGAAGUCUGACCGAGCAACGCCGCGUGAGUGAAGAAGGUUUUCGGAUCGUAAAGCUCUGUUGUAAGAGAAGAACGAGUGUGAGAGUGGAAAGUUCACACUGUGACGGUAUCUUACCAGAAAGGGACGGCUAACUACGUG